AAAAGAUCAUUUACCCGGUGGGAAAUUUGAAAAUGUUACAGCAGAUGUACAAAUACAAAUGAAAUCAGUCAUUCCACACAACAAAUUACCUGAGUGGGUAUUUGGAUACCUUGAUUGGCUCCUUAAACACAGACCAAAUUCAACAAGACUAGCCAACGAAGCACACAUCGUAUACAAAUUAAACAAAACAUCAGAGUGGCUCCACAAAAAAACUGAACUAGAGAUUGAAAAGCUAGUUCAAUGGUCAAAAAGAAUGUUACCCAGAAUCAAGUUUCAGGAGAAAGAGAGAAUCAAAGAAAUAAAAAAGCAAAUGGAGGAUUUAAGCAAAGCAAAGGAAGAAAAAAGCAAGACAAAAAAAGCCAAACAACUGGAAGAGAAAAGAGAAUUACUGGAUGCCAUCUUUGUACAAGGGCUUUGAAAGUCAAGGCAAGAAAUAGAAAUGAAACUACAGCAGAAGUAAAAAAAACUGAAAAGAAAGAUGUUAACUAAUCAAAUAAAAUUUAGACAGUUAGUCCUAGAACAAUCAGCUGACAAAAAAACUUUCCAAAUAAGCAGAUUUGAAGGCAAACCAGUUACUAUAGAUAUGCUGAUGUCGAACUUGGAGAUCUUAAUAAGAUUGGAACAUGUAUCAGAAAUAGAAGUAGAUGUAGAAGAAACAGUGACAGAAGAAUAAAUGGCAACAUAUGAAUGAACAUAAACUUAAAAUUGAAAUAAAACACAUUUUCGUUU